rnacentral:rRNA from 1 species
CACGGAGGCCUCAAGCGUUGUUCGGAAUUACUGGGCGUAAAGGGUGCGUAGGCGGCGAGGUAAGUCAGAUGUGAAAGCCCGGGGCUCAACCCCGGAAUGGCAUCCGAUACUGCCUUGCUUGAGGAUUGGAGAGGAGACUGGAAUUCACGGUGUAGCAGUGAAAUGCGUGGAUAUCGUGAGGAAGGCCAAUGGCGAAGGCAGGUCUCUGGACAAUUCCUGACGCUGAUGCACGAAGGCCAGGGGAGCAAAA